rnacentral:rRNA from 1 species
UAGGGAAGUCUUCGGCAAUGGGGGCGAACCCUGACCGAGCAACGCCGCGUGAGUGAAGAAGGUUUUCGGAUCGUAAAGCUCUGUUGUAAGAGAAGAACGUGUGUGAGAGUGGAAAGUUCACACAGUGACGGUAACUUACCAGAAAGGGACGGCUAACUACGUGCCAG